rnacentral:rRNA from 1 species
AGUGAACGCUGGCGGUAGGCCUAACACAUGCCAGUCGAACGGCAGCACAGUAAGAGCUUGCUCUUACGGGUGGCGAGUGGCGGACGGGUGAGGAAUACAUCGGAAUCUACUUUUUCGUGGGGGAUAACGUAGGGAAACUUACGCUAAUACCGCAUACGACCUACGGGUGAAAGCAGGGGAUCUUCGGACCUUGCGCGAUUGAAUGAGCCGAUGUCGGAUUAGCUAGUUGGCGGGGUAAAGGCCCACCAAGGCGACGAUCCGUAGCUGGUCUGAGAGGAUGAUCAGCCACCAUGGAACUGAGACACGGUCCAGACUCCUACGGGAGGCAGCAGUGGGGAAUAUUGGACAAUGGGCGCAAGCCUGAUCCAGCCAUACCGCGUGGGUGAAGAAGGCCUUCGGGUUGUAAAGCCCUUUUGUUGGGAAAGAAAAGCAGCAGGUUAAUACCCCGCUGUUCUGACGGUACCCAAAGAAUAAGCACCGGCUAACUUCGUG